rnacentral:rRNA from 1 species
GACGAACGCUGGCGGCGUGCUUAACACAUGCAAGUCGUACGGUAAGGCCCUUUCGGGGGUACACGAGUGGCGAACGGGUGAGUAACACGUGAGUAACCUGCCCACAACUUUGGGAUAACGCUAGGAAACUGGUGCUAAUACUGGAUAUGUGCUCCUGCUGCAUGGUGGGGGUUGGAAAGCUCCGGCGGUUGUGGAUGGACUCGCGGCCUAUCAGCUUGUUGGUGGGGUAGUGGCCUACCAAGGCGGCGACGGGUAGCCGGCCUGAGAGGGUGACCGGCCACAUUGGGACUGAGAUACGGCCCAGACUCCUACGGGAGGCAGCAGUGGGGAAUAUUGCACAAUGGGCGCAAGCCUGAUGCAGCAACGCCGCGUGCGGGAUGACGGCCUUCGGGUUGUAAACCACUUUCAGCAGGGACGAAGCUUUUUGUGACGGUACCUGCAGAAGAAGCACCGGCUAACUACGUG